UACGGGGGGAGCAAGCGUUGUUCGGAUUUACUGGGCGUAAAGGGCGCGUAGGCGGUCAGCACAAGUCAGUUGUGAAAUCUCCGGGCUUAACUCGGAAAGGUCAACUGAUACUGUGCGACUAGAGUGCAGAAGGGGCAACUGGAAUUCUCGGUGUAGCGGUGAAAUGCGUAGAUAUCGAGAGGAACACCUGCGGCGAAGGCGACUUUCUGGCCUGUUCUUGACGCUGAGGCGCGAAAGCUAGGGGAGCAAACGGG
rnacentral:rRNA from 1 species